rnacentral:tRNA from 1 species
AAAGAAAUAAUUUAUUUUUAAGCUUCUAACUUAAAAUGAGCAUUAAUAUGUUAU